UAGGGAAUUUUCGUCAAUGGGGGGAACCCUGAACGAGCAAUGCCGCGUGUGAAGAAGGUCUUCGGGUCGUAAAGCACUGUUGUAAGUGAAGAAUGCCAUAUAGAGGAAAUGCUAUGUGGGUGACGGUAGCUUACCAGAAAGCCACGGCUAACUACGUGCCAGCAGCCGCGGUAAUACGUAGGUGGCAAGCGUUAUCCGGAAUCAUUGGGCGUAAAGGGUGCGUAGGUGGCACGAUAAGUCUGAAGUAAAAGGCAACAGCUCAACUGUUGUAUGCUUUGGAAACUGUCGAGCUAGAGUGCAGAAGAGGGCGAUGGAAUUCCAUGUGUAGCGGUAAAAUGCGUAGAUAUAUGGAGGAACACCAGUGGCGAAGGCGGUCGCCUGGUCUGUAACUGACACUGAUGCACGAAAGCGUGGGGAGCAAAUAGGAUUAGAUACC
rnacentral:rRNA from 1 species